rnacentral:rRNA from 1 species
UGCAAGUCGAGCGAGAAAUUUUUUAGCUUGCUAAAAGAUGGAAAGCGGCGAACGGGUGAGUAAUAUGUUGAUAUCUGCCCCCAAGUCAGGGAUAGCCCAGGGAAACCUGGAUUAAUACCGGAUAAUCUCUACGGAGCAAAAAUUUAUUGCUUGGGGAGGAGUCUUCAUUCUAUCAGCUUGUUGGUAAGGUAAUGGCUUACCAAGGCUAUGACGGAUAACUGGUCUGAGAGGAUGAUCAGUCACAAUGGAACGGAGACAAGGUCCAUACUCC